UCUCGUGCAUCUUUAUCCGUUGCCCCUCCACGGCAGAGGAAGGAAACGGAGGGGAACAGAGACGGGGGUGAUGGGGAAUGGAGAGGAGAGGAUUGCCCUUCUCCAAGGGGAAGUCAAGGAGGAGGAAGUGUCGGGGACGGGGUUGGUGAGGAGGUCUUGGAUCGAGUCCAGGAAGCUAUGGAGGAUCGUAGGCCCGGCGAUCUUUGGCAGGGUGGUAAUCUACAGUUUGAACGUCAUCACCCAGGCCUUCGCAGGCCACCUCGGCGACCUCGAGCUCGCAUCCAUCUCCAUCGCCAACACCGUCGUCGUUGGAUUCAGCUUCGGCCUAAUGCUUGGAAUGGCGAGCGCAUUGGAGACACUAUGUGGGCAGGCUUUCGGCGCUAAGAAGUACCAUAUGCUAGGCGUGUACCUGCAGCGAUCGUGCAUUGUGCUUUUCCUGUGUGCGGUCCUCUUGCUCCCGAUUUACUUCUUUGCCACCCCCAUCCUGAUGCUCAUCGGGCAGCCGCCCGAACUGGCGGUGCAAGCCGGACAAGUGUCGAUGUGGUUCAUUCCGCUGCACUUCUCCUUCGUCUUCCUCUUCCCCCUCCAACGAUUCUUGCAGUGCCAGCUCAAGAACUCGAUCAUUGUCAUAGUUUCAGCAGUGUGCCUUGUCGUCCACCUGCUCGUUACUUGGCUCUUCGUUUCGAAGCUGCAAUUUGGCCUAAUUGGAACUGUAUUCACCCUAAACUUCUCGUGGUGGGUUGGUAUUUUCUGCCUCUUUGGGUAUAUCGCAUGCGGAAGCUGCCCCGACACAUGGACGGGCUUCUCCAUGGAAGCCUUUGGGGGCCUGUGGGAGUUCAUAAAGCUUUCGGCUGCUUCUGGUGUCAUGCUAUGCUUGGAGAACUGGUACUAUAGAGUACUGAUCUUGAUGACGGGGUAUCUAAAGAACGCUGAGAUCGCUGUGGAUGCCAUCUCUAUUUGCAUGAGCUUGAAUGGAUGGGAGUUGAUGAUUCCUUUGGCAUUCUUUGCUGGCACCGGAGUGCGGGUGGCCAAUGAGCUCGGAGCUGGCAAUGGCAAAGCUGCUAGGUUCGCCACCAUUGUAUCCGUGGCUACUUCUGCUGUGAUCGGCCUCUUCUUCUGCUUGCUGGUCUUGGUGCUCCAUGAUAAGUUCGCCCUCAUCUACUCAUCCAGUUCGGUUGUGGUCGAAGCCGUUGACGAACUGUCCCUUCUACUGGCGCUCACAGUUCUCCUCAACAGCGUCCAACCUGUUCUUUCCGGUGUUGCUGUAGGGUCAGGGUGGCAGGCUCUGGUGGCAUAUGUUAACAUAGGAACAUACUACCUUGUUGGAAUUCCUGCUGGAAUUCUCAUGGGAUGGGUCUUCAAACUUGGCGUUCUGGGAAUUUGGGCUGGAAUGAUCGGUGGAACUGCAGUCCAGACGCUGAUCUUAGCCAUUAUGACCAUCAGGUGUGAUUGGGAUGAGGAGGCCAAAAACGCCAGCGCACGCAUGGAGAGAUUGGCUACUUCCAGUAAACCAUGAAGCAAAGACCGUGGCAGCGACUUGGAAGUAGAUAUUACCAUGGAUUAAGGUGUUUGAUAUCAAUCACUAAGUUUAGGAAGAGAAAAGGGCAUCGAUCGUAUCACCAGUAGGUCCAGUUGAUCGAUCCGAUUCUGAUAACUUUGUUGAUGCUAUCACGAGGAAGAAUCACACCUAACAUGAUGUUGCUCCUGUCUUAUAUUUGCUCAGCCGUACAUGCUUGUGUUGGCAUUUAUCAAGCUCAGAAUUGAAUUCCCUGAUGGUGAUGUUGAGAGAUAUUAUAAUGAUGGUUAUGAUCCAUGCAAUAUCUAUUAUGAUUAUUGUUAA